GAUAUGUUCCACAAAUUAUGGUUACAGUGAAUGUUAAUCUUUAGUAUUGAACAUAAGCUUUUGAAGGGAUCAAUUAUCAAACGCAAGAAUUUUUUAUUGCAUAUAAUUCAAUAUUUCUGCUCCUCAUACAUCUGCAUAUGAUUCAAUAUUCCUUACUGCUAUUGGAAUUCUAACAAAAUUCUUGCCGUUGGUCCACGUCAAGCUCCCAAAUUUGUAAUGCCCAUGUAGUGUUUGAGUUGAGAAGAAGGUAACUUUGAAGGAAAGAGUGUUGUUGGUGGAGUCGAAACUUAAAAUCUUUGGCUCUACUCUCAUUCUUAUGCCGAAUGGAGACUGCGCUAUUGCUCUGUACACCGAAUUUACCAGUCCGACAUUUGUUACCUUUCUCGUCACUGUUACUUUUCUUUCUAGAUUUGGGAUAGUGAUAGAAGGGAGGUUCAGAUUCAGUUUCAUGUGGUUGUUUUGCUUGCAGUUUACGUUGGCCUUGGUUAAGCUACUUAUUGAUGAAAUGCUGUAGCCCAUGGAGCAGAGGAACUGGAUGUACUCUUCCAUGCUAAUGUCAUAAACAAGCCCUGGAUGCAUUGCUUUCUCUGGAUUGACAUGUCCCCCACCUAUGUCAAAUGGGUCUGCUAGCUUCCGAGUGCGGCCCUCCUCAAAUAUGUUCAUUCCAUCUGUUCCAAUUUGGGAAGCCGUGGUGACAAUAGCUGAUCUUAUGGCUGCAGGAGACCAAUUCGGAUGCAUAGACCUUAUGAGAGCUACAAUUCCUGCUACAUGGGGACAAGCCAUUGAAGUUCCUGAUAGCAGUGCAUAUGCUUUGCCAUUUUCAUGGUUGGCUGGUCGAUAUGCAGCUAAGAUGUCCACCCCCGGUGCAGCUAUGUCAGGCUACCACCAUCAAUAUAAAAAAUGAAGUAGGCAUCAAUAUCACGCGCAUUCUUUAGCACUGCCGGGGAAAUUGAACUUGGUCCUCUGGAUGAGAAUGAUGCAACUUGUGGAGAUGCCUGUUUGCCUAUAACAGUCUUGGGAAAACUCAGCUUUGCAAUUGGAGACCUUCACAUACAGGUGGAGAAGUUAGUUUUAUUUUUGUAUUUGCGCGUGUUGGGGUCGGUAUACAUUUCCUUACCUUGCUUUUCUUAUAUAAGAAAGUAUCUGUGUCCCUAUUUCAUAAUCUACUUUGAUACAUGGAAUUAAUUUGCAGGGGUCAAGCCCAUCAUUAUGAAAUUGUGCGAAUAUGAGCGCAAUCCCUCCUGCUUCGAACACAGAUUUAGAUGCAGAAAUUAUAUCCUGUGCAUCUGAUUUUGAGAAGCAUAGUAUGAUUUUCCCUGCUGCUAAAGUUGUAUUCAGACUUCCAAGUUGACAGUCCUCUCCUGAAUUAUCAGUCGGGUCCACAGCUAUGCGUUCGGAGUAUGUGAGGCCGGCAAAUCCAUGAUUAUGUUUACCUACAUCCAUAGAUUUUCCCCAGAGGGUGCUGUUAUUUCCUAGAGUAAUGGCUGUUGGAAAAGCCCUGUCAAUUGUAGUGGCGGCAACAGUGAUGAGCCAAGGUGCAGUGUUCACAAUUGUUUGUGACGUUGGGCCAUCGUUUCCUGCUGAACAGAUCACAGGGAUCCCCUUUGCAGUUGCAUGGAAGGAACCUAUUGCAAUUGAAUCACGCUUAUCAACAUAAGAGAAUAAAGGAAUUUCAUUGCCAAUUGAGACUGACAAUAUAUCCACUCCGUCUUGUAUAGCUUUGUCAAAUGCUUUUAGAAGAUCAGCAUCAGUGCAUCCUCCACCUUCAAUGCUCCAACAAACCUUGUAUAUUGCUAAGUGAGCAAGAGGUGCUCCUCCUCUGGCCAUACCUGCAGCUAGUCCUCUAUAGCUUGCUUUUUCUACAAAGUGACCCGCUGCUAUUGAAGCUGUGUGAGUACCGUGGCCACCUCCAUCCCGUGGUGAUAGAAACUCCAUAGUAUUACUUGUGUUAAGAGGCUUUCGAAUCUCAUCCUUGAAUCCUUUUAUAAACCAGCGAGCCCCAAUGAGUUUUUUGUUGCAGUUGGAAGAAUUGAAGUGUUCUCCACCUUGACAUAUUCCUUUCCAGUGAGGUGGGACAGGGCCCAUGCCUUGAUCAUUAAAACUUUUGGACUCUGGCCAAAUUCCUGAAUCUAUUACACCAAUGAUAGUUCCUUCACCCAUAUGACUCUGUAUUAACAGAUUUUUUGAGGAACGCUGAUUGAGCCCAAUGAAUUCCCAGCUUCUGGUUGUGUGGAGCUUGCGAAUGCGGUUUGGAAUUACUUGGAUGACACCAGGAAAGUCUGCAAUUUUCACUGCCUGAGACUCUGUCAGCCUUGCUGCAAAGCCUGAAAAGCCAUGCCUAUAGCUGUAAAGAAUGGAACGCUGUGCAGCUUGUUUGCUCCCUAACAAGGUUGACAGCAUAUUAUGGUGAAACUUUCUGGUAGUUGCUGGAUCUUCAUGCUUCUUCUCUCCCAUAUACACAAUAUGCACCUUCUUUGUGGCCUCAACACAUGUUGCAGAAAUAUGAAGAUGAUAUUGGAGUAAAAAUACAGCUAAGGUCGCAAGCAAAUGGCUUUUUCUUACCCCUCUCCAGUUUGUCGACUUGAUAUCCAUCAUACAACUAUUCAAAUCGAUUUGGGCAUUUGGAGCGUGGGUUUUAGAGCUUCUAUGGUAAGUUUAUCAGGUUUAUAAGCUAGUUCUUUUUAUUAUACUAAAGCUUGAUGGGUAAGAGGAAAGUGGUUUAUUUUUCUUUUGACACGCUUCUUUGCUCUUUAUGCUCAAUCAAUACUAAAGUGGAUAAAUGUGAU
rnacentral:misc_RNA from 1 species